ACCUCUCUGAGCCUCAUCUGCGGAUGGAGAUGAAUGAGCCUGCCAUGCUGUAAUGACAACAGGUCUGGCCAAUCCCGGGUGUGUGCUCCAGAUGAUAACCACAGCUAACCUCUGACUCUGAAAGAGACUGUUCUGAAAAAUGCCUGCUGCCUGGAUGGGAAGUGUGAGUGAUGGGAUCCUGAGUACAUCGCUGGCGUCGGCAGCGUGCAUGUGUGGCUGCCGCCUCCUAUCCCUCGGCCGGGCCCUUGUUGCUGAGCUGUAUCCCUGCCCUUGGCCCUGCCCGUGGACUUGAGGGCACCGCUCCCCUGCCAGCCUCGUGAGAGACCUUGUCUGGCAUCCAAGGCCCCUUCAGUGUCUCUAUC
ensembl:lncRNA